CAGUAGCCGCGGUAAUACGUAGGUGGCAAGCGUUGUCCGGAAUUACUGGGCGUAAAGGGCUCGCAGGCGGUUUCUUAAGUCUGAUGUGAAAGCCCCCGGCUCAACCGGGGAGGGUCAUUGGAAACUGGGAAACUUGAGUGCAGAAGAGGAGAGUGGAAUUCCACGUGUAGCGGUGAAAUGCGUAGAGAUGUGGAGGAACACCAGUGGCGAAGGCGACUCUCUGGUCUGUAACUGACGCUGAGGAGCGAAAGCGUGGGGAGCGAACAGGAUUAGAUACCCCAGUAGUCCCUGUCUCUUAUAC
rnacentral:rRNA from 1 species